rnacentral:rRNA from 1 species
UAUGAAAGGGUUAACGAGGAAGGUGCUGUGUCUAAAAACUUAGUUUAAACUAACUUAAAGGUGAAGAGGCCUUUAUAAAAAAGAAGGACGACAAGACCCUAUGAAGCUUUAUCUUAUUAGGGAUUUGAAAGAUCCUUAUACGAUUUUGAUGGGAGAUCAGUAAAAAUAAGUCUUUUACCAUUAUUUUUAUCUUACAAGUGUUUCCUAAUUUUAUAUGUGUGACUAGCUACUCUAGGGAUAACAGCGCAAUUUCUCCCGAAAGAUGGUAUUGGAGGGGAAGAUUGCGACCUCGAUGUUGGC